rnacentral:rRNA from 1 species
AAAUUGAAGAGUUUGAUCAUGGCUCAGAUUGAACGCUGGCGGCAGGCCUAACACAUGCAAGUCGAACGGUAACAGGAAGCAGCUUGCUGUUUCGCUGACGAGUGGCGGACGGGUGAGUAAUGUCUGGGAAACUGCCUGAUGGAGGGGGAUAACUACUGGAAACGGUAGCUAAUACCGCAUAACGUCGCAAGACCAAAGAGGGGGAC